rnacentral:rRNA from 1 species
GGGUUGUGAGGUUAAGCGACUAAGCGUACACGGUGGAUGCCCUGGCAGUCAGAGGCGAUGAAGGACGUGCUAAUCUGCGAUAAGCGUCGGUAAGGUGAUAUGAACCGUUAUAACCGGCGAUUUCCGAAUGGGGAAACCCAGUGUGUUUCGACACACUAUCAUUAACUGAAUCCAUAGGUUAAUGAGGCGAACCGGGGGAACUGAAACAUCUAAGUACCCCGAGGAAAAGAAAUCAACCGAGAUUCCCCCAGUAGCGGCGAGCGAACGGGGAGCAGCCCAGAGCCUGAAUCAGUGUGUGUGUUAGUGGAAGCGUCUGGAAAGGCGCGCGAUACAGGGUGACAGCCCCGUACACAAAAAUGCACAUGCUGUGAGCUCGAUGAGUAGGGCGGGACACGUGGUAUCCUGUCUGAAUAUGGGGGGACCAUCCUCCAAGGCUAAAUACUCCUGACUGACCGAUAGUGAACCAGUACCGUGAGGGAAAGGCGAAAAGAACCCCGGCGAGGGGAGUGAAAAAGAACCUGAAACCGUGUACGUACAAGCAGUGGGAGCACGCUUCGGCGUGUGACUGCGUACCUUUUGUAUAAUGGGUCAGCGACUUAUAUUCUGUAGCAAGGUUAACCGAAUAGGGGAGCCGAAGGGAAACCGAGUCUUAACUGGGCGUUAAGUUGCAGGGUAUAGACCCGAAACCCGGUGAUCUAGCCAUGGGCAGGUUGAAGGUUGGGUAACACUAACUGGAGGACCGAACCGACUAAUGUUGAAAAAUUAGCGGAUGACUUGUGGCUGGGGGUGAAAGGCCAAUCAAACCGGGAGAUAGCUGGUUCUCCCCGAAAGCUAUUUAGGUAGCGCCUCGUGAAUUCAUCUCCGGGGGUAGAGCACUGUUUCGGCAAGGGGGUCAUCCCGACUUACCAACCCGAUGCAAACUGCGAAUACCGGAGAAUGUUAUCACGGGAGACACACGGCGGGUGCUAACGUCCGUCGUGAAGAGGGAAACAACCCAGACCGCCAGCUAAGGUCCCAAAGUCAUGGUUAAGUGGGAAACGAUGUGGGAAGGCCCAGACAGCCAGGAUGUUGGCUUAGAAGCAGCCAUCAUUUAAAGAAAGCGUAAUAGCUCACUGGUCGAGUCGGCCUGCGCGGAAGAUGUAACGGGGCUAAACCAUGCACCGAAGCUGCGGCAGCGACGCUGAUGCGUUGUUGGGUAGGGGAGCGUUCUGUAAGCCUGCGAAGGUGUGCUGUGAGGCAUGCUGGAGGUAUCAGAAGUGCGAAUGCUGACAUAAGUAACGAUAAAGCGGGUGAAAAGCCCGCUCGCCGGAAGACCAAGGGUUCCUGUCCAACGUUAAUCGGGGCAGGGUGAGUCGACCCCUAAGGCGAGGCCGAAAGGCGUAGUCGAUGGGAAACAGGUUAAUAUUCCUGUACUUGGUGUUACUGCGAAGGGGGGACGGAGAAGGCUAUGUUGGCCGGGCGACGGUUGUCCCGGUUUAAGCGUGUAGGCUGGUUUUCCAGGCAAAUCCGGAAAAUCAAGGCUGAGGCGUGAUGACGAGGCACUACGGUGCUGAAGCAACAAAUGCCCUGCUUCCAGGAAAAGCCUCUAAGCAUCAGGUAACAUCAAAUCGUACCCCAAACCGACACAGGUGGUCAGGUAGAGAAUACCAAGGCGCUUGAGAGAACUCGGGUGAAGGAACUAGGCAAAAUGGUGCCGUAACUUCGGGAGAAGGCACGCUGAUAUGUAGGUGAAGCGACUUGCUCGUGGAGCUGAAAUCAGUCGAAGAUACCAGCUGGCUGCAACUGUUUAUUAAAAACACAGCACUGUGCAAACACGAAAGUGGACGUAUACGGUGUGACGCCUGCCCGGUGCCGGAAGGUUAAUUGAUGGGGUUAGCCGCAAGGCGAAGCUCUUGAUCGAAGCCCCGGUAAACGGCGGCCGUAACUAUAACGGUCCUAAGGUAGCGAAAUUCCUUGUCGGGUAAGUUCCGACCUGCACGAAUGGCGUAAUGAUGGCCAGGCUGUCUCCACCCGAGACUCAGUGAAAUUGAACUCGCUGUGAAGAUGCAGUGUACCCGCGGCAAGACGGAAAGACCCCGUGAACCUUUACUAUAGCUUGACACUGAACAUUGAGCCUUGAUGUGUAGGAUAGGUGGGAGGCUUUGAAGUGUGGACGCCAGUCUGCAUGGAGCCGACCUUGAAAUACCACCCUUUAAUGUUUGAUGUUCUAACGUUGACCCGUAAUCCGGGUUGCGGACAGUGUCUGGUGGGUAGUUUGACUGGGGCGGUCUCCUCCUAAAGAGUAACGGAGGAGCACGAAGGUUGGCUAAUCCUGGUCGGACAUCAGGAGGUUAGUGCAAUGGCAUAAGCCAGCUUGACUGCGAGCGUGACGGCGCGAGCAGGUGCGAAAGCAGGUCAUAGUGAUCCGGUGGUUCUGAAUGGAAGGGCCAUCGCUCAACGGAUAAAAGGUACUCCGGGGAUAACAGGCUGAUACCGCCCAAGAGUUCAUAUCGACGGCGGUGUUUGGCACCUCGAUGUCGGCUCAUCACAUCCUGGGGCUGAAGUAGGUCCCAAGGGUAUGGCUGUUCGCCAUUUAAAGUGGUACGCGAGCUGGGUUUAGAACGUCGUGAGACAGUUCGGUCCCUAUCUGCCGUGGGCGCUGGAGAACUGAGGGGGGCUGCUCCUAGUACGAGAGGACCGGAGUGGACGCAUCACUGGUGUUCGGGUUGUCAUGCCAAUGGCACUGCCCGGUAGCUAAAUGCGGAAGAGAUAAGUGCUGAAAGCAUCUAAGCACGAAACUUGCCCCGAGAUGAGUUCUCCCUGACUCCUUGAGAGUCCUGAAGGAACGUUGAAGACGACGACGUUGAUAGGCCGGGUGUGUAAGCGCAGCGAUGCGUUGAGCUAACCGGUACUAAUGAACCGUGAGGCUUAACCUUACAACGCCGAAGGUGUUU